CGUAGGGCUAGCGUUAUCCGGAUUUACUGGGCGUAAAGGGUGCGUAGGCGGUCUUUCAAGUCAGGAGUUAAAGGCUACGGCUCAACCGUAGUAAGCUCCUGAUACUGUCUGACUUGAGUGCAGGAGAGGAAGCGGAAUUCCCAGUGUAGCGGUGAAAUGCGUAGAUAUUGGGAGGACACCAGUAGCGAAGGCGGCUUUCUGGACUGUAACUGACGCUGAGGCACGAAAGCGUGGGGAGCAAACAGGAUU
rnacentral:rRNA from 1 species